AGAGUUUGAUCCUGGCUCAGGAUGAACGCUGGCGGCGUGCUUAACACAUGCAAGUCGAACGGUGAAGGAGGAGCUUGCUCCUUUGGAUCAGUGGCGAACGGGUGAGUAACACGUGAGUAACCUGCCCCAGACUCUGGGAUAAGCACUGGAAACGGUGUCUAAUACCGGAUACGAGCUUCAGCCGCAUGGCUAGGAGCUGGAAAGAAUUUCGGUCUGGGAUGGACUCGCGGCCUAUCAGCUAGUUGGUGAGGUAAUGGCUCACCAAGGCGACGACGGGUAGCCGGCCUGAGAGGGUGACCGGCCACACUGGGACUGAGACACGGCCCAGACUCCUACGGGAGGCAGCAGUGGGGAAUAUUGCAUAAUGGGCGCAAGCCUGAUGCAGCAACGCCGCGUGAGGGACGACGGCCUUCGGGUUGUAAACCUCUUUUAGUAGGGAAGAAGCGAAAGUGACGGUACCUGCAGAAAAAGCACCGGCUAACUACGUGCCAGCAGCCGGGAA
rnacentral:rRNA from 1 species